GCAAGGCGACCUUCUCAACAUGGCGCCCAAUCGGCGCGCGUGAAGGCGGAUCUCGCAAAUCGCUGAGGCCAAUGGCGGUCCGCAAGAGGCGGUGGGGCGGGGAGGACGGCCGCUGCUCGCCCAACCCGAAGCUCCGGAGGUGGCUGGGGAGUGAAUUUUCUGGAAGGCGACUUUAAAGGCGCCUUGCCGGAGUGAAGGGCGUUUCGGUGCCGCGCCGGCCAGAGAGGGCGCAUUUGGUGGCAGGAAGCGAGCUGCGUCGAGGUCGUGGCGGAACCAGACGGUGACCUGCUCAGGAUGAACCACAAGAGCAAGAAGCGCAUCCGCGAGGCCAAGCGGAGUGCGCGACCCGAGCUCAAGGACUCGCUCGACUGGACCCGGCACAACUACUACGAGAGCUUCCCGCUGAGCCCGGCGGCCGUGCCGGAUAACGUGGAGAGGGCUGAUGCUUUACAGCUGUCGGUGGAAGAAUUUGUAGAGCGGUACGAAAGGCCUUACAAGCCCGUGGUUCUGCUGAAUGCCCAGGAGGGCUGGUCCGCGCAGGAGAAAUGGACUCUGGAGCGCCUCAAAAGGAAAUACCGGAACCAGAAGUUUAAGUGUGGCGAGGAUAAUGACGGCUACUCGGUGAAGAUGAAGAUGAAAUACUACAUCGAGUACAUGGAGAGCACCCGCGAUGACAGUCCCCUUUACAUCUUUGACAGCAGCUAUGGUGAACACCCCAAAAGAAGGAAACUUUUAGAAGACUACAAGGUGCCCAAGUUUUUCACGGAUGACCUUUUCCAGUAUGCAGGGGAGAAGCGCAGGCCCCCUUACAGGUGGUUUGUGAUGGGGCCACCACGUUCUGGAACGGGGAUUCACAUUGACCCUCUGGGAACCAGUGCCUGGAAUGCCUUAGUUCAGGGCCACAAGCGUUGGUGCCUGUUCCCGACCAGCACCCCCCGAGAGCUCAUCAAGGUGACCCGAGAAGAAGGAGGGAACCAGCAAGAUGAGGCCAUUACCUGGUUUAACGUCAUUUAUCCUCGGACACAGCUUCCGACCUGGCCACCUGAGUUCAAACCUCUGGAGAUAUUACAGAAACCAGGAGAGACCGUCUUUGUACCAGGGGGCUGGUGGCAUGUUGUCCUCAACCUUGACACCACCAUCGCCAUCACCCAGAACUUUGCCAGCAGCACCAACUUCCCUGUUGUGUGGCACAAGACGGUAAGAGGGAGGCCCAAGUUGUCCCGGAAGUGGUACAGAUACAGCACGGGCAGCGGCAGUUCAAGCCACCCCCAGCCACCCCGUGCCACUGUGUCCCAACCCUGACCUGGAGGGACCAGCUCUCGGGGAUCUUGAAGCAGGAGCACCCUGAGCUGGCAGUCCUGGCGGACGCUGUUGACCUCCAAGAGUCCACAGGCAUCGCUUCGGACAGCUCCAGCGACUCUUCCAGCUCCUCCAGCUCCAGCUCCUCCGACACGGACUCAGAGUGUGAGUCUGGGUCUGAAGGUGACGGGACAACACACCGGAGGAAGAAGAGGAGGACAUGCAGCAUGGUGGGAAACGGGGACACUACCUCACAGGACGACUGUGUGAGCAAAGAGCGCAGCUCCUCCAGGUGACCGCAGGUGGCACUUGUCUGGGCAAGGAUGUGCUCGAAGCCAUGGGCAAGGCCCAAGCCUGGGGAGGGGCAGCCCAUCGGAAUCUGCAGAACCAGGGAGGGUGACGCCGGAGAAGGAGGACUCUGAAUGGGAAUUGAUAGCAUUUGGUACAAUGGCUUUUUCUCCACGCUCAUGUCUUUUAGCAAAGGGCAGAGGUGUGUAGAGGGUGCCAAGGAAGCCCUUUCCCUAUUUAAUAAAAGCAAUCCAUUUUACAUCUUG